UACGUAGGUGGCAAGCGUUGUCCGGAUUUAUUGGGUUUAAAGGGUGCGUAGGCGGUCCUAUAAGUCAGUUGUGAAAUACGGCAGCUUAACUGUCGAGGUGCAAUUGAUACUGCAGGACUUGAGUACAGACGAGGUAGGCGGAAUUGACGGUGUAGCGGUGAAAUGCUUAGAUAUCGUCAAGAACACCGAUAGCGAAGGCAGCUUACUAGACUGUAACUGACGCUGAGGAGCGAAAGCGUGGGGAGCGAACAGG
rnacentral:rRNA from 1 species